rnacentral:rRNA from 1 species
UACGGAGGGGGCGAGCGUUGUCCGAAGUUACUGGGCGUAAAGGGCGCGCAGGCGGCUGGUCAAGUCCGAUGUGAAAGCUUCCGGCUUAACUGGGAAAUUGCAUCGGAAACUGAUCGGCUUGAAGGUGGGAGAGGGUAGUGGAAUUCCCGGUGUAGUGGUGAAAUGCGUAGAUAUCUGGAGGAACACCGGUGGCGAAGGCGGUUCUCUGGGCAUGACCUGGCGCUGAGGAGCGAAAGUGUGGGGAGCGAACAGG